ACUGGAAACGGUAGCUAAUACCGCAUAACGUCGCAAGACCAAAGAGGGGGACCUUCGGGCCUCUUGCCAUCAGAUGUGCCCAGAUGGGAUUAGCUAGUAGGUGGGGUAAUGGCUCACCUAGGCGACGAUCCCUAGCUGGUCUGAGAGGAUGACCAGCCACACUGGAACUGAGACACGGUCCAGACUCCUACGGGAGGCAGCAGUGGGGAAUAUUGCACAAUGGGCGCAAGCCUGAUGCAGCCAUGCCGCGUGUGUGAAGAAGGCCUUCGGGUUGUAAAGCACUUUCAGCGAGGAGGAAGGCAUUAAGGUUAAUAACCUUAGUGAUUGACGUUACUCGCAGAAGAAGCACC
rnacentral:rRNA from 1 species